rnacentral:rRNA from 1 species
GACGAACGCUGGCGGCGUGCUUAACACAUGCAAGUCGAACGGAAAGGCCCUGCUUUUGUGGGGUGCUCGAGUGGCGAACGGGUGAGUAACACGUGAGUAACCUGCCCUUGACUUUGGGAUAACUUCAGGAAACUGGGGCUAAUACCGGAUAGGAGCUCCUGCUGCAUGGUGGGGGUUGGAAAGUUUCGGCGGUUGGGGAUGGACUCGCGGCUUAUCAGCUUGUUGGUGGGGUAGUGGCUUACCAAGGCUUUGACGGGUAGCCGGCCUGAGAGGGUGACCGGCCACAUUGGGACUGAGAUACGGCCCAGACUCCUACGGGAGGCAGCAGUGGGGAAUAUUGCACGAUGGACGGAAGCCUGAUGCAGCAGCGCCGCGUGCGGGAUGACGGCCUUCGGGUUGUAAACCGCUUUCGCCUGUGACGAAGCGUGAGUGACGGUAAUGGGUAAAGAAGCACCGGCUAACUACGUG